rnacentral:tRNA from 1 species
GCCAUUAGCUCAGUUGGUAGAGCAUCUGACUUUUAAUCAGAGGGUCGAAGGUUCGAGUCCUUCAURAGGGGCCU